rnacentral:rRNA from 1 species
AAGGAGGGUGCAAGCGUUAUUCGGAAUUACUGGGCGUAAAGGGCGUGCAGGCGGGAGAGCAAGACUGAUGUGAAAACCCGGGGCUUAACCCCGGAAGGGCAUUGGAAACUCCUUUUCUUGAGUACUGGAGAGGAAGAGAGAAUUCCCGGUGUAGAGGGGAAAGUCGUAGAGAUCGGGAGGAACAUCAGUGGCGAAGGCGCGCUUCUGGACAGCAACUGACGCUGAGACGCGAAAGCGUUGGGAGCAAACAG